GGCAGUUCUCAGGUGACACACCCCAGAAAUGGGCUCCCUCCUCUCUGGUUCUGGGUGCAUCACCCAAGAAUCUCA
rfam:Myotis lucifugus cont2.16876, whole genome shotgun sequence.